GCCCCGCCCGUUCGCCAUCUUGGGGGCGGGGCUUGGGUGUCUGUGUCCCGCGUUCCGGCGCUUCCGCCUGGUGCGCGGGACGAGUUUGUCGCCGGAGCUGGACGCCUGGUCCCGGUGGCAGCCCAGGUCCGCCGGGGACGCAGAAGGGAAUGUUCUCGUUUAACAGUGGUCUUGUUUCUGUGUCACUUUGGUAAUGAAAGUUGGAAGGUCAUUUCCUUGCCUUUAAAUGUGUCUCCUGCCUCUGCUUUUAGGUGAUGCCACUUAGGACGUCUGCCGGCGGCUGUCGCCGUCUUACACAGACACCUUGGGUGUUUCUCUGAGGGUCUGGAGGGACUGCUCAUGUAAAAAUGCUGGUUUAGACUUUUUUUUUUCUUUUUUCCGUUGCGCCGCGGAAGGCGGCUUGGGUGGACAGUCCUGCAGGAGUCUGUCCUCCUCCACUCCAGCAGGACGCGAAGGGCAUGUCCCCCGACUCAGGAGCACCCCCCGCACUUACCAGUGACAAAGGGGAAAAGAAAUGUUGUGGUGGCCCCCCGUCACCCAGGGGGCAAAGUUAACAUCGCUAAUAAUGACAGCGACAUCACAGACCUGCUGGGACAUGCUGAGGGGGCACGGCACCCCGUGGGACUCCUGCUAAAAUCGCGUGCUUACCACUGGACAGAUGUGAAUCAAAGGACAUUCUACAAAAUAACUGACAGGCUCCAGGAGUGUGUCACAUAACAGAGAGAAACCAUCACAGAAUGAGACCUAACAAAAGGGGACACACUGCAGGAUCCUUGUGGGAGGGACACAGGAGGAAGAGCUGUUCAAAGUCUGAUGCAGUCUGUAGGGUGUUGGACGGGACAGGUAGAUGGUCACCCCCUGGCCUCAGGCACCCCACUCUCUGCAGCUCCUGAAGAAGCUGCCCCUAGGCGAAGCUGGACUGAGCUGUUAGGGGGCUCCGGACAAUUUUUGCAACUUAUCUUAGAGCCUGAAAUUACUUCAGAAUUAACAAUGAAAAAGAAAAAACCCACCUUUAAGAGUUGACAAGAGGGUUAAGUGAGGGAAUGCGGGUGGAAUUCCUCUCCCAGACUGGGAGAGCUCUAGUAGCCACUACAGACAGAUGCCCAUUAGGAAAGGCCAGGCUUUCCCGGCGGCUCGGGAGGCAGACAGGAGCGUUGCAAGUUCAAAGCCAGCCUCAACAACAGCGAGGCACUAAGCAACUGAGACCUUGUCUCUAAAUAAAAUGUCCAAUAGGGCUGGGGAUGUGACUCAGUGGUUUUGUGCCCCUGAGUUCAAUUCCUGGUACCCCCUCCCCCCACCAAAAAAAGAAAAAAAAAACCUCUAGGCUUUCAUAUUGGUCUAGAAACAUUAAAACAAUUUUUUUUCCAUUUGUACAGGGAUAAUGCAGUCUACUAAAUACGUAAUGUCGAUGUGGGUUUGAUUACAGAAGCUGGUGAAGUAUUCUGUAAGUACUGGCAAAAAUAAAAGAAAUUCCAGGCUUUCAAGUUUGGAAGGAAAUCAUUGUUUUGGUUACAAAUUGCUUAAGAUGUCAGGAAAACACCAGUGGACAGGUCUGGAGGGUGAGGAGUUCAGCUGGUAUUCCUGGUCCUUCUGGUGAUGGAAGAGCAAACCAGGGAAACUGUCCUAGGUAAAACCCUGAAGCCGGGCCCUACUCACCCUUCGAGGAACUAAACACUCUUCCCCCCAGACACGAGGACUGGGAUCGGCAUCCUGGAGCUAAGGAGGGUCCUGCCAAAGCCUCCGCAGCUGGUGGGAAGGCCAGGCUGGGUGCGUUUCUUCCUCUUGGCCAGGUGGGGUGGUGCACACCUGUCAUCCCUGAUGAGGUGAGGCAGGGAGAUGGGAACUUAGUUAUAUCCUGUCUCAAAAAAAAAAAAAAAGGGCUGGGGAUGUGGUUCAGUGGUAGAGCACCUGCCUGGCAUGUCUGAGGCCCCGGAUUCCAUCCCUAGCACCAAAAGAGGAGCGGGCAGGGAGGGAGGGAAAUGCCCUCCUCUUUGCCACUGCCUGCUCUGGGCACUAAAAGCUGGACGACCAUACUUCUUUACCUAGGGCAUCUGACACAGCUGGGUUCCACUGACAGAUUCCCCAUCACCUUGUCACCACCCAGCUUCACCCUGUCACCAUGAAGGAUUCAGUUAGUGGCCAAGCUCUGUGUACAGCAAGGUAUUUCAGCUGUGAGCUGCUUCAGUCUUCUACUGAAGUGGGUCGGCUUUUGAGGACAUCUGUCUGUGUCUGUAGAAAGACCCCAAGUCCCAAGCAACUUCUGUUCCUCUUUUUUGUUUCUAACAAACAUGAAAAAUAAAUCACUGUGAAGGAAUUAAAAGGUCCCUGUCAUCCCAAAGAUCUUGCCUUCUAAUCCUGAUGGUGAGCCUAGCAUCCCAAAGGAGCGGGUCUGACCUUGUGGACAUCUCUUCUGUCCAGGAGCCCUGGAGGGGUGGGUGGACGCACAGGGGUACCGUGUAGGAAGCACUCUUGCUGAGUGCUGGCCGCGGGAAUCUGUGCAGGUGACAACAUGGAGCAGAAGCAAAGUGCGUGUGAAAAGGGGUAAAACCCAAAUAAG
rnacentral:lncRNA from 1 species